rnacentral:rRNA from 1 species
AGUGAACGCUGGCGGUAGGCCUAACACAUGCAAGUCGAACGGCAGCACAGUAAGAGCUUGCUCUUACGGGUGGCGAGUGGCGGACGGGUGAGGAAUACAUCGGAAUCUACUUUUUCGUGGGGGAUAACGUAGGGAAACUUACGCUAAUACCGCAUACGACCUACGGGUGAAAGCAGGGGAUCUUCGGACCUUGCGCGAUUGAAUGAGCCGAUGUCGGAUUAGCUAGUUGGCGGGGUAAAGGCCCACCAAGGCGUCGAUCCGUAGCUGGUCUGAGAGGAUGAUCAGCCACCGUGGAACUGAGACACGGUCCAGACUCCUACGGGAGGCAGCAGUGGGGAAUAUUGGACAAUGGGCGCAAGCCUGAUCCAGCCAUACCGCGUGGGUGAAGAAGGCCUUCGGGUUGUAAAGCCCUUUUGUUGGGAAAGAAAAGCAGCAGGUUAAUACCCCGCUGUUCUGACGGUACCCAAAGAAUAAGCACCGGCUAACUUCGUG